rnacentral:rRNA from 2 species
GACGAACCGUGCGAACGUUGUUCGGAAUCACUGGGCUUAAAGGGCGCGUAGGCGGGCUUGCAAGUCUGUGGUGAAAUCCUCCAGCCCAACUGGAGAACUGCCGUGGAUACUGCGAGUCUCGAGGGAGGUAGGGGCGUGCGGAACAGAUGGUGGAGCGGUGAAAUGCGUUGAUAUCAUCUGGAACUCCGGUGGCGAAGGCGGCACGCUGGACCUCAUCUGACGCUGAGGCGCGAAAGCUAGGGGAGCAAACGGG